UACAGAGGUCCCAAGCGUUGUUCGGAUUCACUGGGCGUAAAGGGCGCGUAGGUGGCCCGGUCAGUCUUUGGUGAAAGCGCGGGGCUCAACCCUGCGUCGGCCAGGGAUACUGCCGCGGCUCGAGCACUGUAGAGGCAGGCGGAAUUCCGGGUGUAGUGGUGGAAUGCGUAGAGAUCCGGAAGAACACCGGUGGCGAAGGCGGCCUGCUGGGCAGUUUUGCUGACACUGAGGCGCGACAGCGUGGGGAGCAAACAGG
rnacentral:rRNA from 1 species